CAGGAGCUUCAGAGACAAGACAUCACACAGGCCUCCAUUUCAGUAUUCAUCAGAAAAUGGAUAAUUAGGGUGACCAAGAAGGAAGUAAGAAGUAAGAUAGA